rnacentral:rRNA from 1 species
AUUGAACGCUGGCGGCAUGCCUUACACAUGCAAGUCGAACGGCAGCACGGGUGCUUGCACCUGGUGGCGAGUGGCGAACGGGUGAGUAAUGCAUCGGAACAUGUCCUGUAGUGGGGGAUAGCCCGGCGAAAGCCGGAUUAAUACCGCAUACGAUCUACGGAUGAAAGCGGGGGACCUUCGGGCCUCGCGCUAUAGGGUUGGCCGAUGGCUGAUUAGCUAGUUGGUGGGGUAAAGGCCUACCAAGGCGACGAUCAGUAGCUGGUCUGAGAGGACGACCAGCCACACUGGGACUGAGACACGGCCCAGACUCCUACGGGAGGCAGCAGUGGGGAAUUUUGGACAAUGGGCGAAAGCCUGAUCCAGCAAUGCCGCGUGUGUGAAGAAGGCCUUCGGGUUGUAAAGCACUUUUGUCCGGAAAGAAAUCCUUGGCUCUAAUACAGUCGGGGGAUGACGGUACCGGAAGAAUAAGCACCGGCUAACUACGUG